UUCAAGAAACUUCUUGAAAGUAGGACGUGCCUUUACAAUAACCAGCCAUCAGCACUCUGUUUCCUAUUUGCUAGGAAGUUCGCUCCAAAUGCCUUGGGUCGUCUGUUAAAUGUAUCGUCCGAAGUUAUGGGAUUUUGAUACAAGUUUGGUAGAACAGCUCAUGAUAUUGGCUUAGUAGAUACAAUCUGCUGUAUUUUUCACUAG
rnacentral:misc_RNA from 1 species